rnacentral:rRNA from 1 species
AUUGAACGCUGGCGGCAGGCCUAACACAUGCAAGUCGAGCGGAUGAAGGGAGCUUGCUCCUGGAUUCAGCGGCGGACGGGUGAGUAUUGCCUAGGAAUCUGCUUGGUAGUGGGGGAUAACGUCCGGAAACGGGCGCUAAUACUGCAUACGUCCUGAGGGAGCAAGUGGGGGAUCUUCGGACCUCACGCUAUCAGAUGAGCCUAGGUCGGAUUAGCUAGUUGGUGGGGUAAAGGCCUACCAAGGCGACGAUUCGUAACUGGUCUGAGAGGAUGAUCAGUCACACUAGAACUGAGACACGGUCCAGACUCCUACGAGAGGCAGCAGUGGGGAAUAUUGGACAAUGGGCGAAAGCCUGAUCCAGCCAUGCCGCGUGUGUGAAGAAGGUCUUCGGAUUGUAAAGCACUUUAAGUUGGUAGGAAGGGCAGUAAGUUAAUACCUUGCUGUUUUGACGUUACCAACAGAAUAAGCACCGGCUAACUUCGUG